rnacentral:tRNA from 1 species
GCCUGGAUGGCGGAAUUGGCAGACGCAACGGACUCAAAAUCCGUCGAGUUUUGGCUCAUGUGGGUUCGACCCCCACUCCAGGUA